CAGGAGACAGUCAAUUAACAUAAGAAAAAUAUUCAGCCUCACAAAUAAUCAGAGAUUCAAAUGAUGAGAUUAUUCAACCACUGUCUUGGCAAAAAUCAAAAAAGGUCUGUUGGAGCAUAAAUCAAUGCAAUCUUUUCCCAAAGCAAUUUGGCACCUGCCACAUGUACCUAUAUUUGGACCCUAUAACCCCCUACUAGGAAUUCACAUCUCAGAAAUACUUGCACAUAUGAACAAAGAUCUAUGUCCUGGAGACUUUGUUCUGCCCUGUUUGUAAGAACAACUUAAGCAGACUCACCACUGGUCAACUGUCUGCAGCAGGGAGAUGGCCAGGCUUUCCACAGAGAAGUUGGUGUCCGUCAAAGGGAUGUGCAGGGCAUUCUUGAAGUUGCUAGUGCCGAUGAGUGGCCAAUUCUGCGUGUGCGUGUGUGUGCGCGCGGCGCGAGUGUGUCUCUGAAAGCUGGAGGGGAGAAUCUGUUCCAUGCCUCCCUCUUAGUUUCUGGUCCUGCCAGUAAUCAUAUAUACAUAUAACCUGACAUGCUAAGCUUUGUCAGAUUCUUUGCUAAGGAACUCAAGACAUCACCCCCAGCUGGCCUCUAGCCUGACCUGCAUUCCGGAACACGGGAAGAGCAUCUAUGGGAAUCCUCCUUCACGAAGUCCUUUGUCUCAAGGGCUUUUCUGGGGAAGCCUCCUGGAGCCCAUCUGUGCUGCUAGAGUGGGCAUCUCAAAAGCACAGGCUGCAGCUGGGGCUGGGUGCUGCAGGAAGGUCCUUGGUUUGGUGAAGAGGGAUCCUGAGUGGGGCUGCAAAGAGGCCAGGAUGUAGGUCCAUUAUUUAAUUUUCUAUGUUAAAAAUUCAGUUGACCAAAAAAAAGAAAAUUGCUCGAUUUAUCACUUCUCCAGAAAUACUAAUUUGGGAAAGCAAGGUGCCAUUUUUCUUAGGAAUACAAUUGACCUGAAGAAUAAGCCAACCAGCGCGGGCCCCCAGGGGUCUUAGGGCCCCUCCCCACCCCUGCCCAGGCCAAGCUCCAGGCAGGAGGCCUUUCUGUCUGUAGGUAGCUCACCUCUUCAGCGAGCCCAGGGUACUGAAAAGUCACCAACUCCUGAGAGGCAGGUGUUUCCUUUGACUCGACAAUUUCUGCAAUUAUGAAAGUUUUGCUAAUUGGUUUAUCAAACAUAGUCAGGUGCCCAUGAGAGGUGUUGGAGGCCAAAGACAAGGUCUCUUUGGAUGCUGCCAAAGAGCUAGAGAAGGGGUGUGGUCACUUAAUGUAGCCCCCCAACGCAAAUUGCCUUAAUCAAGCACAAAAUUAGGUUAAAUCUGGGUGGAUGGAACUGGGUUACUUUUGGGCAAGACUCUUCUGUCUAGAAAACAAAGAAGUUGGACUCAAGAUGGAAUAAUAAAUUGGCUGAGUUCUCCCUCCUGAGUCCAUGGAGACAUCACCAGCUAUUGGUAGGCCUUCCUGCCCAUCCUCAACUGCCUGGGUUCCCAUGACCCAAUGAUUAGAGCGGGCAUUUGAGGGAGAAUCUUUGCCAUCAUAAAAGACUUCUAAUAAUACUUCCAGCACACCUAAUUUCUGACUGUGGUAGACCUCAGGUCCUGGACCAGUAGUCUCUUUGGGCCCAUGUUUUCUCUGUGCCUGGAUUCCUUAUAACUACCAAAGGGUAGGUAUUUAAUAAAUAUUUGUGUUUAUUCACAAAGGUUUGUUGGUAUAUGGAAAUAGUCCACAGAGAAGAGGGGCACCUCAGGUAGCGGGGACUCUGAUCCCCCUUGGGGCCCAAGGCUUCUUCUCACCCCUACUGCCCACACCUUCACUUUCCAUCUGCAUGAUCUUUAUGCAGGACGCCCAAACUGAUGGUGUUUUUGUUUGGUUGGUUGGUUGGUUUUUGUUUUGCCUGUUUGCAUCUGCACUUCAGUGGAGCCGGAGAUGUGACAGUCUCUGGGACAGGUGUCUUUCCUGGGGAGUGACGGUGAACUUCAUAGGGUUUCCCAGCAGCACAGGAUUUGCCUGGACCACAUCUGAAGGCGGCCCUCCAUCGGGGUAGUUUGUACCCUCUCUCCUAACUGAGGAGAAUGAAGCCGUGGCUCGUGACCUCCCUCUCCCCAGGGGAGCCUAGCGACACAAAAAGCAAGUUCCUUAGUGCUCCCCAAGGGCCAAAUGUCCAACUCACCCCAGAGGUAGAAACAGCCUGCCCCACUUCCAGGACUCCUGGGACAUCCCCGGAGCCCAAGGGCUGUGAAUUCACACAGAGGGGUAUUCAAAUCACCAUUCCUGAACAAUAACACAUUCUGACAUCAGUGGGAAUGGCAGAAUAAAGCCCACUGGAAGGAGUUCUGGUCAUGGCUCAACAGAAAUUAAUCUGACUAGCAUCCCUGAGGACACAGGUUUGAUCCCUGGCCUUGCUCAGUGGGUUAAAGAUCCAGCAUUGCCAUGAACUGUGGUGUAGGUUGCAGACUCGGCUCAAAUCUGAUAUUGCUGUGGCUGAGGUGUAGGCCGGUGGCUACAGCUGUGAUUUGACCCCUUACCUAGGAACCUCCAUAUGUCAUGGGUGUGGCCCUAAAAAGACAAAAAACAAAACAACAACAACAACAAAAACACUGAAAAUUCACUCCUCCAUAACAUCCAUGAGAUCACUGGCAAAAAUGAUCAAAAUCAACUUUCUCAUGACACUUUAAAUUACCCCAGGGCUUGCAACUAUCAAGGAGCAAUUAUUCUCUGUGAGAACAGAGUGUUUAAUGGUAUUUUUACUUGCCAGUUCCCACCCCUUUUUCCCCUGCCCCACAGCAACCUAGCAAUCCACCAGCACCACAAUCACAAUGAAAACCAGCAGCCUGACUGCCACUGAAGGGAGCAGAAUGGGGCUGGAUCUUUUCAAAAACCCACCACCAGAGAAAUGUCAUUCUGGCAGUCCCUGGAAACCACACCUGUGGGGCUUAUUCAGGUCAAAUAAAACCUGACUCAGAGCUCACUCCUUAUAACCAGCCUUUACCCAAUGGCAUUUGUUUAAAAAAAAUAGUAAUAAUAAUAAUAAAAAGCAGCUGUGUAACAUGGAAGUUGCCUGAGACAACAGUACCAAUACUGACCAAAGAACUUAAAAGGAGAAGCUGAAUUAUAUCCAUAGGGGUUUCCUAGGAAUCUGGAAAGCCAUGUGCAUAUGUAGCGCUGUCUUUCUGGAAAGACCUAGAAAGCUGUAAGCUCUCACCUCUGACUGACCCUGAGGCCCUGCACAGAUGGAAGGGAAGGCUAAGGCAGGGCAGAAAACUGUCUGCCAGAGUGCUGAGUGUGUACCCCAACUUUACACAGAGCCUGGUGGCAAAGGCUGAGCCUUACUUGUCCAAGACGUUUAUGGAAAUUCCUGUCCAAUCAUUAGCUGACCACUAAGCACACCGAGCAGAGCGUUCAGUGGCCACGUACAACAAGGAAUAUAAAUCUCUGUGAGGAAUGUUACUCAACAGCAAAGAGAAACAUAAACAACAAACGGGGAGGGGGGGACCUAGACAGUAGAGCCUGCAGAAGAGAAAGCAGAGACAGGAAAGCACAGUAGAAGCCUCAGCAAGGAAGCCAUUUCAGGGAGGAGAGAGCAGCACCGCCAGGGGAUCAAAUCGGUAAAGGAGCUGGAGGCCGAAUCUGCAGGGUCUGGAAGGCCAGACUGAGGAACUGCUAUUUCAUCGUAGCAGGUGAGAUAACACAGAAACCUCGAGGAGGAGUUCCCUGGUGGCACAAUGGGUUAAGGAUCCAGCAUUGUCACUGAUGGAGCUCAGGUCACUGCUGCAGUGCAGGUUUGAUCACUAGCCUGGGAUCAAAAAGAAAAUCUCAAUGAGGACUCUUUUUUACCGGCAUGGCCUGCUUGCCUCUCCCCGGACCUAAAAGUCCUACUUUAAAAAAGACAACAAGGAGUUCCUGCUGUGGUACAGCAGAAACUAAUCCAACUAGUAUCCGUGAGGAUGUGGGUUCUACCCCUGGCCUCGCUCAGUGAGUCAAGAAUCUGGUGUUGGUGUGACCUGUGGUGUAGUCCACAGGCGCAG
rnacentral:lncRNA from 1 species